GGAUCCAAGUGUUUUCCGGAAUCAUUUGGGUUUAAAAGGUUCGUUUGGGCGGGUUAAUAAUUCAAUGGUGAAAAGCCCUACGCUCAACGUAGGGAACGGCCAUUGAUACUGUAAGUCUUGAAUUUAUUAGGAAGCAACUAGAAUAUGUAGUGUAGCGGUGAAAUGCUUAGAGAUUACAUGGAAUACCAAUUGCGAAGGCAGGUUACUACUAAUGGAUUGACGCUGAUGGACGAAAGCGUGGGUAGCGAACAGGAUUAGAUACCCUGGUAGUCCACGCCGUAAACGAUGGAUACUAGCUGUUCGGAGCAAUCUGAGUGGCUAAGCGAAAGUGAUAAGUAUCCCACCUGGGGAGUACGUUCGCAAGAAUGAAACUCAAAGGAAUUGACGGGGGCCCGCACAAGCGGUGGAGCAUGUGGUUUAAUUCGAUGAUACGCGAGGAACCUUACCAAGGCUUAAAUGUAGUUUGACAGAUUUGGAAACAGAUUUUUCUUCGGACAAAUUACAAGGUGCUGCAUGGUUGUCGUCAGCUCGUGCCGUGAGGUGUCAGGUUAAGUCCUAUAACGAGCGCAACCCCUGUUGUUAGUUGCCAGCGAGUCAUGUCGGGAACUCUAGCAAGACUGCCAGUGCAAACUGUGAGGAAGGUGGGGAUGACGUCAAGUAAUCG
rnacentral:rRNA from 1 species